UGGGGAAUAUUGCACAAUGGGCGCAAGCCUGAUGCAGCCAUGCCGCGUGAAUGAUGAAGGCCUUAGGGUUGUAAAAUUCUUUCGCUAGGGAUGAUAAUGACAGUACCUAGUAAAGAAGCCCCGGCUAACUUCGUGCCAGCAGCCGCGGUAAUACGAAGGGGGCUAGCGUUGUUCGGAAUUACUGGGCGUAAAGCGCACGUAGGCGGACUUUUAAGUCAGAUGUGAAAUCCCGAGGCUCAACCUCGGAACUGCAUUUGAAACUGGGAGUCUAGAGAUCAGGAGAGGUUAGCGGAAUACCGAGUGUAGAGGUGAAAUUCGUAGAUAUUCGGUGGAACACCAGUGGCGAAGGCGGCUAACUGGACUGAUACUGACGCUGAGGUGCGAAAGUGUGGGGAGCAAACAGGAUUAGAUACCCCCGUAGUCC
rnacentral:rRNA from 1 species